rnacentral:rRNA from 1 species
UACGGGGGGGGCAAGCGUUGUUCGGAAUUACUGGGCGUAAAGGGCCAGUAGGCGGCCAACUAAGUCCGACGUGAAAUCCCAAGGCUUAACCUUGGAACUGCGUCGGAUACUGGAUGGCUUGAAUUCGGGAGAGGGAUGCAGAAUUCCAGGUGUAGCGGUGAAAUGCGUAGAUAUCGGGAGGAACACCGGUGGCGAAAGCGGCUCCCUGGUCCAGCACCGACGUUCAGGCACGAAAGCGUGGGGAGCAAACAGG